GACGAACGCUGGCGGCGUGCUUAACACAUGCAAGUCGAACGGAAAGGCCCUGCUUUUGUGGGGUGCUCGAGUGGCGAACGGGUGAGUAACACGUGAGUAACCUGCCCUUUACUUUGGGAUAACUUCAGGAAACUGGGGCUAAUACCUGAUAGGAGCUCCUGCUGCAUGGUGUGGUUUGGAAAGUUUCGGCGGUUGGGGAUGGACUCGCGGCUUAUCAGCUUGUUGGUGGGGUAGUUGCUUACCAAGGCUUUGACGGGUAGCCGGCCUGAGAGGGUGACCGGCCACAUUGGGACUGAGAUACGGCCCAGACUCCUACGGGAGGCAGCAGUGGGGAAUAUUGCACAAUGGGCGGAAGCCUGAUGCAGCAACGCCGCGUGCGGGAUGACGGCCUUCGGGUUGUAAACCGCUUUCGCCUGUGACGAAGCGUGAGUGACGGUAAUGGGUAAAGAAGCACCGGCUAACUACGUG
rnacentral:rRNA from 1 species